UUUUGCAUCCGCGUCAUUGGUGCGUCACUUCCGGGUUCCCGGUUGUUUAGCCGACAGGGUGAUUGUUUGCAUGCUGCUCUGGGCAACUCAUAUGCGGCGGUGCCUUCUGUUUGGUGAAUGCCAGCAGCGGCCGGUGUCCUCUCUCCCUCUCUCCUCCUUGAGAGUAUGUGUGUGUCCCUAACAGGUAUGUGUGUAUUAGUAUGGUCAACUACAGUAUUAUAAUAUCAAGCCGUAAUGCUAACAGUAUCUCUUUCUAAUUAGGAGUGUGCAAUUAGCUGGUGGUUGCUGCUGCUUUGUCUCCGCGGCUGUCUCCGCGGCCGCUCUGUCUUUAUUAAAGACUGUCCAUACUAAAGACGUUGGGCCUCAUUCAUGAAACGUGAGCAGAACGAAUUUGUGUGUAAACCGUUCGCAGACGGAAAUUUACGUGCAUCUCCGCAUUCAUCAAUAUUUUAGUAGCUCCGAUCUUUUCGUAGCUAC